AGGUUAUUGGUACAAGAUGUGUGCUCAUAAUCAACUCAGAUUCUGGUCCAUACGGGGCUUAUACUAACCCUUUUUGUAAGAUACUUUGCACCUUUUGAGUGAAUGGUGUAACAAAUUAUUUAGUAAAUGCUUGUGCUGAAAAUGUAGAACUGAAAUUGAUCAAAUGUUUAUAAGCAAGAUACAAACCAUAGAAUGAUGGUAAGCAAAAUAUCUCGAAC
rnacentral:lncRNA from 1 species